AUUGUUGUUCUUCUUCUUCAAUUGUAGAUCUAAUUUGCAG
rnacentral:sRNA from 1 species